AUUGAACGCUGGCGGCAUGCCUUACACAUGCAAGUCGAACGGUAACGGGCCUUCGGGUGCCGACGAGUGGCGAACGGGUGAGUAAUGCAUCGGGAACGUACCUUUCAGUGGGGGAUAACGUAGCGAAAGUUACGCUAAUACCGCAUAUUCUGUGAGCAGGAAAGCAGGGGAUCGCAAGACCUUGCGCUGAUUGAGCGGCCGAUGUCAGAUUAGCUAGUUGGUGAGGUAAAGGCUCACCAAGGCGACGAUCUGUAGCGGGUCUGAGAGGAUGAUCCGCCACACUGGAACUGAGACACGGUCCAGACUCCUACGGGAGGCAGCAGUGGGGAAUUUUGGACCAAAUGGGGGGCAACCCUGAUCCAGCCAUGCCGCGUGAGUGAAGAAAGGCC
rnacentral:rRNA from 1 species